rnacentral:rRNA from 1 species
UACAACGAGUUGCGAGUCGGUGACGGCGAGCUAAUCUCUUAAAGCCAAUCUCAGUUCGGAUUGGAGUCUGCAACUCGACUCCAUGAAGUUGGAAUCGCUAGUAAUCGCGGAUCAGCACGCCGCGGUGAAUACGUUCCCGGGCCUU